UGUGUUGUUGGGUAGGGGAGCGUUCUGUAAGCCUGUGAAGGUGUGUCGUGAGGCAUGCUGGAGGUAUCAGAAGUGCGAAUGCUGACAUAAGUAACGAUAAAGCGGGUGAAAAGCCCGCUCGCCGGAAGACCAAGGGUUCCUGUCCAACGUUAAUCGGGGCAGGGUGAGUCGACCCCUAAGGCGAGGCCGAAAGGCGUAGUCGAUGGGAAACAGGUUAAUAUUCCUGUACUUGGUGUUACUGCGAAGGGGGGACGGAGAAGGCUAUGUUGGCCGGGCGACGGUUGUCCCGGUUUAAGCGUGUAGGCUGGUUUUCCAGGCAAAUCCGGAAAAUCAAGGCUGAGGCGUGAUGACGAGGCACUACGGUGCUGAAGCAACAAAUGCCCUGCUUCCAGGAAAAGCCUCUAAGCAUCAGGUAACAUCAAAUCGUACCCCAAACCGACACAGGUGGUCAGGUAGAGAAUACCAAGGCGCUUGAGAGAACUCGGGUGAAGGAACUAGGCAAAAUGGUGCCGUAACUUCGGGAGAAGGCACGCUGACACGUAGGUGAAGUGAUUUACUCACGGAGCUGAAGUCAGUCGAAGAUACCAGCUGGCUGCAACUGUUUAUUAAAAACACAGCACUGUGCAAACACGAAAGUGGACGUAUACGGUGUGACGCCUGCCCGGUGCCGGAAGGUUAAUUGAUGGGGUCAGCGCAAGCGAAGCUCCUGAUCGAAGCCCCGGUAAACGGCGGCCGUAACUAUAACGGUCCUAAGGUAGCGAAAUUCCUUGUCGGGUAAGUUCCGACCUGCACGAAUGGCGUAAUGAUGGCCAGGCUGUCUCCACCCGAGACUCAGUGAAAUUGAACUCGCUGUGAAGAUGCAGUGUACCCGCGGCAAGACGGAAAGACCCCGUGAACCUUUACUAUAGCUUGACACUGAACAUUGAGCCUUGAUGUGUAGGAUAGGUGGGAGGCUUUGAAGUGUGGACGCCAGUCUGCAUGGAGCCGACCUUGAAAUACCACCCUUUAAUGUUUGAUGUUCUAACGUGGACCCGUAAUCCGGGUUGCGGACAGUGUCUGGUGGGUAGUUUGACUGGGGCGGUCUCCUCCUAAAGAGUAACGGAGGAGCACGAAGGUUGGCUAAUCCUGGUCGGACAUCAGGAGGUUAGUGCAAUGGCAUAAGCCAGCUUGACUGCGAGCGUGACGGCGCGAGCAGGUGCGAAAGCAGGUCAUAGUGAUCCGGUGGUUCUGAAUGGAAGGGCCAUCGCUCAACGGAUAAAAGGUACUCCGGGGAUAACAGGCUGAUACCGCCCAAGAGUUCAUAUCGACGGCGGUGUUUGGCACCUCGAUGUCGGCUCAUCACAUCCUGGGGCUGAAGUAGGUCCCAAGGGUAUGGCUGUUCGCCAUUUAAAGUGGUACGCGAGCUGGGUUUAGAACGUCGUGAGACAGUUCGGUCCCUAUCUGCCGUGGGCGCUGGAGAACUGAGGGGGGCUGCUCCUAGUACGAGAGGACCGGAGUGGACGCAUCACUGGUGUUCGGGUUGUCAUGCCAAUGGCACUGCCCGGUAGCUAAAUGCGGAAGAGAUAAGUGCUGAAAGCAUCUAAGCACGAAACUUGCCCCGAG
rnacentral:rRNA from 1 species